UUUCCGUAUUUGAUAUCACCAAACCUCACCUCACCGCAGACCACCGUCGCUCACCGUACGUCGCACACCGCCACCGCCACCGCCACCGCCACCGCCGCAGAUCACAGAUUUUCCCAGGUGGACUAUUAUUAUGGAUGGCUUGUGGCAGCAGCUAACCCACCAAGCUGGUAGAAGAGAAAGAGCUGGAUUUCUCAGAAUUUUACAAGAAAUCGCACAACCUUCUUCCACAUUUUUCCACAUUUGAUGCUGCGGCACGAGCUCAUGAUCAACAGAUGGAUGCAAUGAGAGCUGAGAUGUAGGCUCUUUGUGAGGAGUGGCAAAGAGAUCAUGAAGAGUUGAUGAGGGAGAGAGAGGAGCGCAAGAGAGAUCAUGAAGAGAUGAUGAGGGAGAGAGUGGAGUUGAUGAAACAAGCCAAAGAUGGGAAAAAAACUUAGGAGGCACAACAACUCAAUCACUUGAACAACAUGGUCUCACAGCUCACAAGCCUCUUGCAGCCUUGAGAUGGUCAUUCUACUAUUUGGUAAGAACAUUUUUAUUCAUAUGAUACUAAACACAUACACGGGCUGCUGAGAUUGAACAGCCAUGACCAUUAAUUCAUAGUGCUUCAUGAUAUUGUUUUGUUUUGAGCUACAAUUGGCAGCCUUGUCUAUUGCAUUUGAACAAAGAUUAUAUACAUUGUGAUGAAAAAGGAGUGGAUAAAUUGAAAAUUCUUAGAAAUAUUGGUGGUGACAAAAUGAAUUUUGAAAUUUGUUUGGAUAAGAAAAUUGAAACGAAAACGAAUGGGGGCACUGCAUCAUGUUUAGUCGUCUGAAUACUUGUCUCUUUGAAUUUACAUUUUUUUUUUGUUAACUUUUGUUUUUAAGUUUCUGACCUGAUUCUUUAUACUUAUUCCUAGAUUUCUAUUGGCUAACAACAUUCCUAGUUUGUAGAAUGUUGCCUCCUUUUUCGGUGCAAAGUGUAGUCUUGUUAGAGGCCACUGUAAAUGAAGACAAAAGAGAAACUAUGAGAAUUGCUUUUAGUUAAGGUAGAAUAUGAGGGAAAAAAUAAGACCUAUCAUUUUGAAUGACUCAAAUAUGCACUAAAAUGCGAAUGCCACACAUUAUAUGAAGUUAGCACAUAUAAGGCUUUGUACUAAUCAAUUGUCCCUUGAAUCUCUAUUUAUAUAGGGAGCAACCAAAUGAAUGCCUAUUAGCCAAGUCAAUGAAAUAUUAUUUUGAUAUUGUAUACAUAUCUUGCCAUCUCAUCUAGAUUAAUCAAGACAAUAGA